UUACUGAAUAUAUUUUCCGCUACUACAACGGGUUUUCGGACGAAGAAAUUGAAUUAGAAUUUGACAUUUUUGCCGCAAACAGGCGCAAGAAACCUGUCAAAAAGACCAAAUGGCCAAAAAAAGCUAAAAGCGUUUCCAAACGCUUCCCCCUCCAACCCUGGGUGGAUCAAAACGGAGUGUGGGAACUUCCAGCUCCUAAACACAAAAAGGGGAUCCUAAAAAAGAUCUUCGGAUUCCUUAAGUGACCUAUCUGGAUGUCACUAGUGGAUGCGACCCACUUUAAAAAGCGUGCGAAUCUUUAUUGACUUAAGAAUUUGGAACCAGAUUACCUCUUUCGUUUUCACUGCUGCAAGUAAACUUUUGGCCAAAAUAUCAAAAUCUUUUGCAGCAUCUAAAUUUGCUGGUUCCUAGUCUUAAAAAGAAAUAGCAACAACUCUCAAAGAUAACAAAA